GGGUGUUUAGCUCAGUUGGGAGAGCGCCUGCCUUACAAGCAGGAUGUCGGGGGUUCAAGUCCCUCAACGCCUA
rnacentral:tRNA from 2 species